UGGUGGAGUGAUUUGUCUGGUUAAUUCCGUUAACGAACGAGACCUCAGCCUACUAACUAGUGUUGCAUACAUUCUUGUAUGUAUAUGCUUCUUAGAGGGACUAUCGGUUCUGAGCCGAAGGAAGUUUGAGGCAAUAACA
rnacentral:rRNA from 1 species